AUUGAACGCUGGCGGCAGGCUUAACACAUGCAAGUCGAGCGGAGAUGAGGUGCUUGCACCUUAUCUUAGCGGCGGACGGGUGAGUAAUGCUUAGGAAUCUGCCUAUUAGUGGGGGACAACAUUCCGAAAGGAAUGCUAAUACCGCAUACGUCCUACGGGAGAAAGCAGGGGAUCUUCGGACCUUGCGCUAAUAGAUGAGCCUAAGUCGGAUUAGCUAGUUGGUGGGGUAAAGGCCUACCAAGGCGACGAUCUGUAGCGGGUCUGAGAGGAUGAUCCGCCACACUGGGACUGAGACACGGCCCAGACUCCUACGGGAGGCAGCAGUGGGGAGUAUUGGACAGUGGGGGGAACCCUGAUCCAGCCCUGCCGCGUGUGUGAAGAAGGCCUUAUGGUUGUAAAGCACUUUAAGCGAGGAGGAGGCUACUGAGACUAAUACUCUUGGAUAGUGGACGUUACUCGCAGAAUAAGCACCGGCUAACUCUGUGCCAGCCGCCGCCGUAAUAC
rnacentral:rRNA from 1 species